rnacentral:lncRNA from 1 species
AAGUGCUGGGAUUACAGGCGUAAGUCACGGCACCCAGCCCCACUCACCUGCAGACUGACAGAUGGACAAUUUUUUUCUAGCAGGACCAGACAGAGACUUGGAGGAAACACUUUUAUGACUCGUCCAGAGACUCCCUGGGCUGGAAGGAAUCUGGCCUCUGCCUCUGGGAGAUCAGCAAGUGGGGCAAGUCUCUGUCUGGGGCCAUGGCCAAGGCUGGCUGGGUCCUAGGCUGGGGACAGUGUAACCCCUGACCAUUUGCCAGCCCCCAGUAGCUCACCCUGGUCUGACUGUCUUGGCAGAGCUGAAUGUCCCAAUUUUCUUCAGAACUUUUUCCCAGUCUCACAGUCCUCUGUGACUGUUCCUG